GCGCAGCAUAUCCGCCCACCUUCAGCCUGGAUGCGGAGGAGAGUGCCUGGAAUCAUGGCGCAGUCUGGGCUGGGGCAGGAUCCCGAGAGUACUACUGCGGUCACCGUGCUAAAGCGGGCGGUGGAGCUAGAUUCGGAGUACCGGUACCCGCAGGCUCUGGUGUGUUACCAAGAGGGGAUUGAUCUGCUCCUGCAGGUUCUGAAAGGCACCAAAGAUUAUACUAAGAAAUGUAAUCUCAGACAAAAAAUUUCCAACUACAUGGAUAGAGCAGAAAACAUAAAGAAAUACUUGGAUCAAGAAAAAGAAGAUGGAAAAUAUCACAAGCAAAUUAAAAUAGAAGAGAAUGCAACAGGUUUCAGUUAUGAGUCACUUUUUCAAGAAUACCUUAAUGAGACAGUUACAGAAGUUUGGAUAGAAGAUCCUUAUAUUAGAAAUACUCAUCAGCUGUAUAACUUUCUUCGAUUUUGUGAGAUGCUUAUUAAGAGACCAUGUAAAGUAAAAACUAUUCACCUUCUCACCUGUCUGGAUAAAGGCAGUAAGAAAGAGUACCAAAUUAGCAGCCUGGAAGAAAUAAAAGAGUCACUCAGCAAUCAUGGAGUGCUGUUGGAAUUGGAAUACUCUUCUUCAAUACAUGACCGAGAAAUUAGGUUCAACAAUGGAUGGAUGAUUAAGAUUGGAAGGGGACUGGAUUAUUUUAAGAAACCACAGGGUAAUUUUUACCUUGGAUAUUGUGAUUUUGAUUUAAGACCAUGUCAUGAAACAACAGUGGACAUUUUUCAUAACAAGCACACAAAAAAAAUAUGAUGGGUUCAGGUGCUGAUAAUGCUGAAUCUGAAAAAUUUUAGACUCAAACCCAUUUUGCUAAGCUAUAUUGUAUGGAAAUUUAGGGUCUCAGGAGAGCACCUGGACAAUUGUUGGACCUGAUCAGAAGUUCUUUUCUGCAGACUGUCUUAGCUUAUCUUGCCAAGUACCCAUCGCCACAUGGCUUUUCAUUCAGUUCUGUGGAAUCUACCUGCAAAACAUGCCUUGAAUCUGUUCCAGGUGUUGCUUCCUCACGGUUCUUCUGGAAUUUGAAGCCCUUAACACUCUUCACCUGAUGAUAUCCUCACUCUUGAACAAACGGUAUUACUGCACCAAAGCACAUCAUAUCAGGAUUUUUAUACUUUCCUCAGAAAAUAAUUUUCAUGUGUUCCAACAAGUAUAAUGUUUAAAAAUAUGCCCGUGAGAAAUCUCAAAAUUGUGUUUACUUGGUACUUAAUAUUGCUGCUAAAAAACAAAAGCACCUGCCAUUAAA